UGCCAGCCGCCGCGGUAAUACGGAGGGUCCAAGCGUUAUCCGGAAUCAUUAGGUUUAAAGGGUUCGCAGGCGGAAUUUUAAGUCAGUGGUGAAAGCCUACAGCUCAACUGUAGAACUGCCAUUGAUACUGAUAUUCUUGAGUGUAGAUGAAGUGGGCGGAAUAUGUCAUGUAGCGGUGAAAUGCAUAGAUAUGACAUGGAACACCAAUUGCGAAGGCAGCUCACUAAACUAUUACUGACGCUCAUGAACGAAAGCGUGGGGAGCGAACAGGAUUAGAUA
rnacentral:rRNA from 1 species